AAUGGCUUGGACAAACACCUGAAAAAGAAAAUCAACCUUUUGAAUCAACCAUAAGGAGCGACAAUGCAACCGAAAUAGAAACCGAUAGAACAACCCUACCUUUUGGAAUAUGUGUGUGGUAUAAAAAAGAAAUUGAUAGAACAAAUCAUCCUUUUGAAUUUAAUGUGUGUGAUAAAAAAGAAACUGAAAAACAAAAUCAACCUUUUGGAAUCAGUGUGUGGUGGUAUAAAACAUCAGAUGAAAAAGAGGCUCACAUUAUUGACAACUAUUGUGGAUCCCCAUCAUCAAUGGGGGAAGAUAA
rnacentral:lncRNA from 1 species